rnacentral:lncRNA from 1 species
GGUGGUGGGGCUUACGCAGUUGUAGUUGGGGGUGCAGCAGAGGACGCGUAUCCUGUAGUUGAGGCACAUCUUGAAUUUUCCAGUCUGGUCCUCGUUCUUGCACACCAGUCCAUAGUGGACGUCGCACUGCACGACCUGCCCCACCUGUUGGAUGGGAACGUCGGGGUAGUCCUCGGCCCGGCACUCGAUCUCCUUUGGACGCUGGCAGACGCGCUUCCCGGCGGCCCGGAUGUGCUGGAUGUUUUGCUCCAGGAGAGGAUAUGGUGUGUUAGGAAACCUCACUGCUCUGCAUUCCACAUCCCUUCUGUUAGCACAGACUUUGUAUCCUUUUUUUUUAAUGUUCUCAAUGGUGUCGAAAUCUCCAUCAUCAUAACCAGACCCUGGAUAAC